AUUUCAUUGCAAGUAUGAUUGAUCCUUAACUCUAAGGAUAUAGUUCAGUCAUUGUCUUUACACUAACUCUAGUAUUCUUUAUAUCACUUUAUUUUGCUAACUCUAGCAAUCAUUAUUUUUUAACUUUACUCAUUCUUUAUGCUACUUUCAUUCUCUUUACUUAUCUCUACUCAUUUUCAUCGUUCUUUGCGUCACAUUUCUCUUAGAUGCCACACACUA
rnacentral:lncRNA from 1 species